GAUGAACGCUGGCGGCGUGCCUAAUACAUGCAAGUCGAACGAGGUGCUUUUGUAGCAAUACGAGAGUAUCCUAGUGGCGAACGGGUGAGUAACGCGUUGGUGACCUACCCCAAAGUGUGGAAUAACAGUCCGAAAGGAUUGCUAAUACCGCAUGUGGUUAUCGGGUUUAGAAACUGAUAACUAAAGGAGCAAUUCGCUUUGGGAGGGACCUGCGUCCCAUCAGCUAGUUGGUGAGGUAAUGGCUCACCAAGGCUACGACGGGUAGGGGACCUGAGAGGGUGACCCCCCACAAUGGAACUGAAACACGGUCCAUACACCUACGGGUGGCAGCAGUAGGGAAUAUUGCACAAUGGGCGAAAGCCUGAUGCAGCAACGCCGCGUGCACGAUGAAGGCCUUCGGGUCGUAAAGUGCUUUUCUGGGAGAUGAGAAAGGACAGUAUCCCAGGAAUAAGACUCGGCUAACUACGUG
rnacentral:rRNA from 1 species